AGUUAUUUUAAUAGACCCACAGAUGAGAGUCAUAAACAAGUGUACAGCUUCCAAAAGAAAUAGAAAUGGUGUCUUAAGUCAAGUUCUAACGUGCGUGUGCGCUACAAAAGAGCACACGUUGUGAUGAUUUAGUAUUAACUUUAGUAGUAAAAGUAGUAACUUUUAGCCAAAGUAACAAGCUCUUGCCAGCGUUUGCUAGCAUGCUAACUAGUUGUUAGCUGUCUUUUAACUCGACACUUAUUGUGACAAUCGAUUCUUUAAACACAAGUAAAGACUUGAAGAUGCUGUGUGAAGUCGUGCUGUCGUCUCUCUGGAUCCUGUUUGUCAUAUUUUGGGUGGAGACUGAAAGUGUCUGGAUGUUCCUCUCCAUGUUCCACCAGGACAGGGCAUUUUACCUGUCCAGAGAUGGGAUGAUUCUUUCUCCACAGAGAAGACCAUAUUCAAGUAGGGAUGCAGGCCUGAUAGAAGAAAUGUAAUAGUCCCAUGAAGUGGCUGUUGGACUGUAGUGUGGUGCUGUGAAAGACUGAAAGAAGCAAUACCUUUUGCUGACUUCAUUGAAAAUUAAGAGUUUGUCUUUAAAAUAGGUCAGUAUAUCAUAAAAUCUAUGUGAAGGUGAUGCCAGUCCUAUGGGGGCAGAGUGGAGUUACCUGCCCCUUGAUGAAGGAAGUCAAGAAAAGGCAGUAGCUUGGGGGUCUCUUUGAAAAGGGCAGAGUCCUUUUCACAGUCACAAGAAACUGCAGCCUAUAUAUUGCCACUAUGAGCCUUUUGCAGGUCCAGUUGCUCAUAAUGCAUGAACCUUUAUGAAAAGUGUAUAAAGCACAGGUGUCAAACAAUCUGGCCCUCAGCUGAUAUUCUAUUAAAAUAUUUGAAUUAUAUUUUUUAUUAAAAUCUUGUUAAUUUUCUGUGAUGUUUAUCACAGCAGCGUCUCCAGCGUCUCUGUACGUGGCCCCUCCCACCAGAGCAGCACAAAUGAAGACUUGUCUCUUUCCAAACGCUCUUAAAGGACGAUCGUUUUGACUGUUGACCAUGACACCCUCAUCAACAAAAUGUCACAAAUGAGAAAAUAGGAGCCGAGUGCAGGAUUUUCCAAGAAAAAUUUAGUUAUUCCUAUUUAUACAAGUUAAUGUUAAAAAAGUUCAUGUUAAAACAUUGUGUUGAAAUUGUAUUUUUCUUAAAGUUUCAGGUUGUUCAUAAUAUUAUAACAUUUUGUAAAAGAAAGUUCAUUCAUUAAAAAAGAUUUCUGUAAUAGAUUUGUGUUUCUCUGCACAAAUAUUUGAACUUAUUGUUAUUUUUGGGGUUUAUAUGACAUGAGUUUUCUGAUCCGGACACUUUGGAUCAAAGUCGGUUGGAUACGGCCCCCGGACCAAAAUAAGUUCGACACCCCUGGUAUAAAGGGAGACGUCUGAUAAAUUCGAUUGGGUGAGAGUUACUCGUAGCACUGUACAAAUGGAAGCAUGUAUUUUUAUGUGAGCUUGACAUAUAAGACAUUAUCUUUUGUAAUUUUUCAUGGCAUACUCAAGUAGAAUUGUUGAUUAAAGGACACAUAUUAUUUGAAAA